UACGUAGGGCGCAAGCGUUGUCCGGAAUUAUUGGGCGUAAAGGGUAGGUAGGUGGUCUUGUUUGUCUGGGGUGAAAGCCUUGAGCUUAACUCAAGAAGUGCCCCAGAAACGGCACGACUAGAGUACUGGAGAGGGUCGUGGAAUUCCCGGUGUAGCGGUGAAAUGCGUAGAUAUCGAGAGGAACACCUGCGGCGAAGGCGGGUUGCUGGGCUGACACGUGACGCUGAUGCGCGAAAGCUAGGGGAGCGAACGGG
rnacentral:rRNA from 1 species